AGUAACUUUCCAAGGGGAGGGGUUUCAGUCAGACCCGGGUACGAGUCCUGUUCAGAAUCUACGGAGCUCUGAAGAUCCAGCAGCUUUCCGUGUGGUUCAGCCCGAUCUGUUCCCCGCCACGAUGCCUGACCCGACCGAUCCGAACCAUCCGUUACCUACACAGACAGACGCGGUCCGACCGAAUCCUAAUCAGGCCUGCAGAGUACCCACUCUCUGUGUGAGAAGGAGCAGGAUCGAGAGGGCUCUCCGACGCAGAGCGGGCCCGCGCGGGUAUCUAUCAAGAAGAAGAAGAAGAAAUCAUUCAUCCACCGUCGAUGAAUUGAGGAGUCACUGCCUUCAGACCAUCCUGCAUUUAACAGAACUCUGCAUAAGAUUGUUUGAGGAAGAAAAUAGCUGAAAAAAUG